AAAACGUAAGUAAACUGCGCCAGAAAAAAAUUAUAAUGACUCUAAAAUUCUGCAUUGUGAAAAAUCUUUGUUUAAACAGAAACCACGUCAAAUAUUUACAUUAUCAUUAUAUGACCAUGGGGAUCAUAAUGAGCCAGGGAAAACUAUAAUUAUUCCCAUUUUAUAGAUGGGUAAACUAAAUAUGAGAAAGGUUUUGUCUUUCAUCAAUACUACAUUCAGAUUCUCAACCGGCUGUGUAUUUGCACAUAAUUAAACAAAUGGAUGGAUGGAAGAAUAAGAAAUGCCUAAAUGGCACUGCACACACCACAUCUCUCCCCUUGUGAAAACCAAACAACUACAUUUCCAUCUAUCUGCUGGAGAGCCUGAUUACAUCAUUUGUCAAUGUGACGUAUACCUUUCCUCACUUCACCUCCUCUUUAUUUUGUAGAAUGAAACACAUCAAUCCAAAGGCACACCAAAGACACAUGAACUCCUCUCCAGAUUGCUUUUCCCCCAUAUGCAAUGAAUCUACUUAGUGAUUAGAGGCUUAUCAAUAUUUUAGAGGCAGUGACUACUCACUUGAUCUUUUAAUAUAAAACCAAAAAUUCUUACACAUGUAAACCAUUAGCUUACCUUUCCUAACUCAGUUUAUUAAUCUGUUUGGGACUUCUCUAAGAAUUCAAUAGAUUUACUGCAUUGUUGAAAACUACAAACUAGAAACAGCCUAUGUUAAUAAAGACUCAAUAGACUAUGGUAGUCCUCCUAGGAAAUUAUUAAGCAGCCAAAGGAGGAAUGAGAUACAUCUAUAAGGACAAAUAGGGAAAGAUAAACAUGAUAUAUUAAGUGAAAAAAGCAAGUUAAUUGAUACAGUCGACAUCUAUGAAAUAUUCUUACCAAAAAACUGAACCUAAAUCUUAUUAAGCCUUCAGAUCCAAACUAUCAGUUUGUAGGGAAUGCACAGAUGACAGGAACCAAGAGAUAAACACAAUGACACUAAAUGGAUGCACCCAGCCACAGCCAGAACAUGGGAAAUUCUAAAGGACAAAUAAGCCUGGCUUUUCAAUAAACAAAUGCCAAGGGAAAAUGAGAGAGAAGAAACCAUUACCGUUUAAAAGGGACUUAAGAGACCUAUCACUCAAAAGCAAUAUGCAGAUCUUGUUUGGAUCCUGAUUCAAACAAACCAACAUUAGAAAGUUAUUAAUGAAAUCAGGGAAAUCUGCAUACUGUCUGGAUACCAGAUGAUAUUAAGGAAUUAAUGUUAAUUUUUUUAGGUGUGAUAAUAAAACUGCGAUAUGUGCCCUUAUGGAGCUUUCAGUAUACUUGCAAACCAAUACAAGGAAUAUGAUCUCAUUCUGUCAAAAAGCCAAAGGCAUAUGUGGAUGUGUGAGUGUGUGUGUAUGGUGUGUAUACACACACACAUACAUAUUCACACAUAGAUUAAAAAGUCUGAAACACUAUACCAAACUGUUAAGAGAAAUUAUCUCUGGGAAAGGCACAGAGCACAAGACAAGCUUGAAAAAUAGCUUAAAAAAGUCUUUAUGACAAAUAUGUACCACUUUUAUAAUUAGAAGUUACAUGUCCAAUAAAGAUCUAAAAAAAUUAAGAAUGAAAUCAACACUGCAUAUACAGUAAGCUGAACUCUGGCCCAGAAUAUUUUUGAAAAAUGAAAUGGAUAUUUACAUAGUUUCCCUGCAUUCCAUGUCUCAUUAUCCCUAUAGAGAAAUAUAACCAUGUUGAGUGUAAAGUUUCUGGAGGGUAUGUGUGGCUUCCUAGCUGCUCACCCUCUGUCUCCCUUCUAAUAGCACAUUGAUGCCUAUUCUGGGAUGGGUCUAGGCCUCUGCCUUUCAACAGGCUCCCCAGGUAAUUGGUUUGUAUAACAAUGAGACCUAGUAUGGGGUUGCUAUAUGAUGGGCUAUAAUGUCAAAGAGGAUCAAAAUUUUUUUUCUGUGACCCCUAAGGGAGGAUCCAGACCAUUGUUUAGGAAUUCAAGGAGAAAUAUUUUGCUUAGUAUAAGAAACAGUUUCCAAAAAAAUAAGAACUGCCCAAAGAUGGCUUCCCUGGGGUGGUGGUGGGGGGGGUGAGUUUCCUAUCAGUGGAGGUUAAAGUAUGAAUACACAGAGCUAAAAGGGAUUUAUGCUCAAGGCUGAGAGUUGAGCCAGAUGACCCCCAUCAAAUUCUAAGAUUAUAUGACUCACUGGGACUCCAAAAACAUGGAGACAGCUUGAGAAAGAUAAACCUCAAACCCAGGGCUUUCAUGAAUUUUAUGAAGAGCAGCCAUGUUUAUAAUAAACAUAACAAUGAUUUUAAAAAAUUUAUUGUAAAAGAAAAUUUCAUAUUCAUUGCAGAAAAUUAAAAACUGUAGUUAUAUAGAAGAAAAAAUAUAAAAAACCACCCAUAGUCCUACUAUCUCAAGAAAUAUACUUAUGUGGAUAAAAUGAAAGUUCAUGUGGCCAGGAUUCUCACCUGGCCCUGGUUGGCUAGCUCACUACACGUGUGGUUAAUGCAUCAUUGUUGACUCUAUAUAGAGAGCCCUGCUCAGUAUUCUGGGUGACACAGUGGCAUGGCUGCAAGGCUGGAGAGCAGAGCAGAGGCUGGCGUGGUGGCAGCGCCAAGGACAGAGGCCCAGAGGACAGCUGUGCAGGUAGAGAGGCCCAGAGGCAGAGACCGGCUUGCCACAUGCAGACUCGCUUUAGUGAUUGACCUGCCACCGUGGAAAUAAAGUUGGGUAUAACCCUUUCACCCCAAGAAUGUUCUACUGUCAUUUCUUUGGUCACACUGAAUCCAUAGUGAACUUGCCCAGGCUGAAAUCCAUUGGCAAGACAACUGGCGUAGUCGGCAGGAUUCAUUGGUGACUAAGGAAAAAGAACAGGCUGCCCUCAUGGAAGGAGUGUUUCAGCAGGCCACACCUACAGACGGGGAGACAUUCGAGUGUCCCCCUGUGGACAUGUGGUACUGUGAAGGGGUGGAGACUGGGGUCCACCCCAAGAGAAAGAAAAUUUGUUGCUGACUGGAUGGUGUCACUAUCACGUUCUGUGGAAAUAGUAAAGGAUGUCAUGGUAACCCAAGAGGAAGCAGCAUGAGAAGGAACAGCAGCCCAAGAAGGAGUGGCACAAGAAGCAGCAGUAUGGGAGUGCAGGCUGCCAGGUGCUGUGGGGCAGGUGAAGGAAGAGGUCCGAGAAGGAGCGGCACAAGAAGAAGCAGCACACAGACUGCCAGGUGCUGUGAGACAAGAGAAGGAUGUAGUGGAGCUGUCAGCUCCAGAAAUGGAGGAGCAGAGGUUUGACGAACAGGCUCAAGAACAAAAGGAAAUAUGGUCUGCUUCUUGAAGGAAAAGGCAGGAGCAGACAGAAAGAAAUUGGAUGACUGGAGUUGUGGCAACAACUGAGACUGGAGCAGCAGUUCCGGCUGCUGAGGACAAAGCAGAAGGCAGAGAUAAAGCAACAAGAUCGGCCUGUGUGUUUGGAAGACUUUGCUGGAGAGGCUGGAGAAGAUGCUCAAUCAGUAAAUAUUGAAGGAAUAACAAAAAUAAAAGGUGAACUGAAUAUAAGAACCAGAAGAAAUCACACUGAUUUUCUGACUUUAUCUGAUACCACUCUAAAUUUCUCUAACCUCAGGUUACUCAACCAUUAAAGAAUGAAUAAUUACACUUAUGAAUUCCCUAUGUCACUUACAAUAUCUCUAUAUAAUCUUGAGCUUCUCUACAAUAGUCAUGUGUUCAACAGAUGUUUACUGAAUGCCUAUUAGAUGAAUACAAGUGUGCUUACUAUAGUGAAAUGGUGUUUGAAAAAAAAAUAACCUAAGAAAUAAAAGCAUUUUUUAAUAGUUUGAAGUAGUUUUGUAGACAAAUCCUAACUGUUGGGUUCUAGCUUGUCAAUAAAACCCAGGUACUUCUCAAGAACAAACAAUUAAAUUAAGUCAUGGCACUUUAACCCAGAAAUUAAAGAAAAGGAAUGAAAAAUCAUCCUGAUCCUAUAUUUCUGCAUAAAGUUGAAACUGGUAUAAUUAAUUAAUUAAAGACAAGUCAUUUCAGCUGGUGUUAACAAUGUUAAAAA